UUGUAUUAUUUUUUUUUUUAUAAUUUUCCAUAAUUUUUCUCCAAAGCUGCUUUUUGAGCUAUGGAAACCAAAAGCAAAAGGAUUUAUGUGAUGUCUGUCUGAAUGUCUGACUGGGGUUAGAGGGGUAUUUCAAUCAAAACAUUUUUCCAUCUAAUAAUCCACAUUCCCUUCAAAACCAGUCUGACUGGAUUCAUGACUAAAAAAUGAUGUUUAGGAGGACCACAAAUAUAGUGCACUAGUCUUAUGGACUACUGUUACGAUACUUGUAUUGUGCUUUUUUUUUGUACUAUUGAGCUUGACAGGAGGGCAGUCCCAAGCAUGGAGAUUUGCCAAAUGUGAGUUAGAGAAUACAGGUCCCUAAUCAGUCCCCUAAUCAGCCCCCCAUGGACUUGUCUGCUUGAUAGACUUGGUCACUAUUUACUUCCAUUAAAUGGAAGAGAGCAGCUUCAACAUUCUACUUAAAAUCUCUGGAAAAAAGUCAGUUCUACAAAUUGAGGUUGAUUUUUGGGUGAACUCUCUGUCAGUUCUACAGAUUGAGGUUGAUUUUUUGGGUGAACUCUCCCUGUAAACCUGAACUGUGCCAGGCAUCUUCUGAUUGGAGUAUUAAAUUAUUCAGUCAGAUAAGGUCCUUGCACAUCCCACCAGAACAGCAUGUGGCCACAAAGCUGCACCCUGCUGUGGAACCAGGACAUAAGCUUGGGAGAAGUAGAUGAGAAUGACGAGAAGGGUGGCCAUGAGAAGUAGUGGAGGGAGAGAUAUGAGAGCUGGCUCUGUGCCAGAGUUAGCAAAUGGAGCCUAAAAGAAGUUCUUCAGUGGGUGGAAUGUGAUAAGAGAGUGUCUGAUGUACAUGCGUCUCCCUUUGCCUUGAAGCUGCAGACACAGACACAUGUUUUUAGAUUUGUGGAGCGAGACGGUCUGUGCUCAGACGGGGAGGUGAAUCUCUUCCGCUCGGCUUCUUUUUGGUCUCUUAGUGGGGUUCUGCUCUGUCAUUCCAGUUUGCCCUUCACGUCUCAGACAUACAGAUCAGGUCUGAGUGCACAGGUGAAUGUGGAAGAACUUGGGUUGGUGUACUUUUAAACACAACUAAUCCAUUUCAGCUGAACCUGUCUGGUCCAUCUUUCCCUAUGGUAACAAUCCCUGUAUGAUUUACAUGAAGUUAUGUUUAUUGCGGAUGAAAUGGAAUCAAACGCUGUGGUUGACGACAUUGAUAUCCUUCAAUUUGUAUGGCAUCAGUCUAUCUAGUCAGAGUUUGGAAGUAAGAAUGGCAUGACAGUUAAGAGCCAGUGUGAGAGGGUUUCUGGCUUGUUUAUGGAACCUUCACUUACUACCGAUUGAGCUGGUGCAGCAGUUAUGCCUCUGAUUCAGUUUGCAUUGGCGUAGAGUUGCGCUUGAGCAGGGGUGUCCAAUUCUGCUUUUGAAUGGCCGACAUCCUGCAGAAUUUAUCUCUGGCGCACCUGCCUGUAAAUUUCUAGAAAUCCUAAACACUUUGAUUUAACACAUUCAGGUGCAUUUAAUCAUGGCUAGAGCUAUGCUCCGUGAGAUGGUGUCCCUCUAGGAGCAGAGUCGAACACCCCUGAGGGAGCAAAAGAACGGAGUAAACAAACAAGGCCUCAUGCAAAGUCUGUUUAAAAGAUUUUUUUUUCACUUUGAGUUCCACGUUGUUUUUUGGAAAUGUGACUUUGUAAAUCGGGGAUAGCCGACCCAGUUUCUAGAGGGCAACCAUCCUGCAGAGUUUACUGUAGCUCCAACCCUAAUCAAACUCAUUUGAACCUGGUGUGUUUGAGUAAGUUUGGAACGAUGUUUGCAAAAGUGUAGUCAAGAGCAGGAUUUGCUACCCCUGCCCCAAAGACAUCUUAAAGUUUAAUAUAUGUUGAGAUCAGGGGUGUAACCAACACUUUUCCUGCAGAAUUUUUCUCCAACUGUAAGCGAACACACCUGAACCUGUUAAUCAAGGUUAUAUCACAGACAGGUGUGUUAGAGCAAGGUUGGAACUGAAAUACUCCAAACACUUGCUAACUUGAACUGUACGGUCCCAUUGUUUUGAGAUGGUGUGGUUUGUAAGAAAGCGAAGGAUGGUCAUUUCAGCUGUCCCGACAGUCAGCUGAUGUAAGAGCUGCCUGGUGAGACACAUCAAACCUCCAGUGAGCACCUUUCCUCAUCUCAUUCAUAAUGUAGAGGCAGCUCGUCCAGUUCCUGGAAGGACAGGUCCGCAGACAGAUCCCUGAGGUCUGACUAUCACCACCUUUCCUACACUGAAGUUGGAUUUAGAAGGCUUCAUUUGAUACAGGACCCUCAAGGGAGAAUUGAGCCCUGUUGGAUAAAAAGAGGCAGGAUGUGGGCACUCCCGAAAGUGCGUCUGUAACUGCAGGGGCUCAUCUGAGAGCAGAGUCCUGGUGCUCUCAAGUUAUUUUGGAUGACAUUGACCUAUUUUUGGCUCUGCUGCUGAAUAAAAAUACCUCUGUCUAAAUGUCUCCGUGUGCAUUAGAGACACCUUGUCUGAGCAGAGACACCUGCUCUAAAGACCUGUGUGGGAAAAGCUCUCAACUCUUCCCUCAUAGCCUUUUUCUUUAUUUGUCACAAUAUGUAAAAGUCAGGUUAAUGUCUAUAUGUUAAAUGUGUUUGUUGUCGUUUGUGUGUAAUCUUAUGCAGAGGAAAAUCAUGAUUCAUUAUGAUCAUUCUAUGAAUCCCAACCAGUGCUGUUCCCUGUUU